rnacentral:rRNA from 1 species
GACGAACGCUGGCGGCGUGCUUAACACAUGCAAGUCGAACGGAAAGGCCCUGCUUUUGUGGGGUGCUCGAGUGGCGAACGGGUGAGUAACACGUGAGUAACCUGCCCUUGACUUUGGGAUAACUUCAGGAAACUGGGGCUAAUACCGGAUAGGAGCUCCUGCUGCAUGGCAGGGGUUGGAAAGUUUCGGCGGUUGGGGAUGGACUCGCGGCUUAUCAGCUUGUUGGUGGGGUAGUGGCUUACCAAGGCUUUGACGGGUAGCCGGCCUGAGAGGGUGACCGGCCACAUUGGGACUGAGAUACGGCCCAGACUCCUACGGGAGGCAGCAGUGGGGAAUAUUGCACAAUGGGCGGAAGCCUGAUGCAGCAACGCCGCGUGCGGGAUGACGGCCUUCGGGUUGUAAACCGCUUUCGCCUGUGACGAAGCGUGAGUGACGGUAAUGGGUAAAGAAGCACCGGCUAACUACGUG